CUGUAUUGAGUGGGGUGGUUCCGAUCAGGGGCCUGAGAUUAUACCCGUUGAACCUGAUCCGGGUAAUGCCGGCGUAGGGAUCCAAUAUUGUCCAUCA
rnacentral:ncRNA from 2 species